UUUAUUUUAGGAAAAUAAAUAUAUUAUUAUAAUUAUUAUAGUAAUAUAUUUAUUUUAUCCUGCUUAUUGAAUAAAUUUUUAACAGUAAGUAUUGCAUUUCUGAAUAAAUAUUUUAUAACAGUGUUUACGUACAGUUCUUUUCAGAUUAACCAUAAAUACCAAUCUCGAUACCAUUUAAAUGUGUUCAAGUUUUAAUUUUUUGAAUUUUGAUAACACAAAUAUGAUAAUUAAUUCUAAGAUAAUUACACAAAAAAUUAUUUUCAUAUUAUUAUCAGUGGUGGAGUAAAACAUUUGUAUUUGGUUAAUUAUUAUUGUAAUUUUUCUUCUUUUAAUCUCAUUUUAGGCUUGUGGGUUGUGCAGGGUUGUGCAACUAUUUUAUAUUGCUUUAACAGAACCAAAAUUUAUAACUAAGUUUAUAUUUUUUAAUAUUAAUAAGAAGUAAUAUGUCGAAUAUUUUACAAACGAAUAUCAAGUCGGUUAGAACCUAAUGCUCAUGCAAAUAAAGGUGCCAUGGCAACCCUUUGAAUCUGAUAGUUAUUCACUCUGAGCAAUAAAGUAUAAUAUUUUAAAUCAAAUUAACUGCGGAAAUGAAUUUCAAUAAACUGGUUGCUUUGCUUAUAUUUUGACAAACAACAAAGCAUAGAGAGUCUUCAACAAAAACUCAAGUAAAGAUCAUAUUGCAAAUAUUGAAAAGGGCUCUCCAUUGGUAAAUAAAUGUCAAACAAUUUGUAUAGAGAAUGCAAGCAAUUGUUAAGCAGUUCUUUUUAUAUAUUUAUAGUAUUUACUAUACCUGUAAUCUUCUUGUAUAUUCACAUUUUUAGUAUUAAUUUGUAUAUUUAUUUAGUUAUGUUUUAGUUAACAUAAUCUAUUUAACUUAAUAAUUUAAUGUUAAACUAAUGAACUGAAAAAAAAAAUACAAUUGACAUUGUUUUGCAAACUAAAGUUUAACGUUUACAUUUUGUUGUUAAAAACCCUGUUAUACCUAAUUUUUAUUUUCAGGUUUUAUUUUAAGCUACUUUUUAUUUUAGUCUAAAUAACCAUAGCUAAUAAAGGCCAGCAAAUGCUCUUACUGUUUUUCAAAAAAUUGUUUUUAGCUUAUUUUCUAGCACAAUUAUGACUAUUAAUUAUUACUAUUUAAUAAGACUUUUAACUUUAAGAUUUUAAUUAUAAUACAAACAUUCAACUGUAUGAUUUUAAUUAUGACAAUUAUAUACAAACAUUCAACUAUAUGAGAUUAAUGAGCUAGCAAGUAAAAAAACUUACAUACAACAAAUGUAGUUUGAUGAGAGGAUAAGAAUAUUAACUCUUUAAAGUUUAGGAAAUAUAAGAAUAUUACCUUUUCUAAAUAAGUUUUAUCCUGUUUUUUUAUUAAUAAAAAUUAAUUUUUCUUAUCAUUAUUAUUUUUCAUUGUAUUUAAUUUUCAUUAUUGUCUUGUUAUUGUUAAAACUACUAAAAUUUAUGUUUAUUUCAGAAUAAUAGAAAUGAAUAAACAAGAGAAAAAUCAAUACUUGAGGGAAUGGCGCCAAAGUAAUCAAGCCUUAAACAAUGUACUUGUAAAUGAAGAAAUUGACUCACAUCACAUGUCGACUCUAUUAAUAAUAUUAAUAGAGUCAAGAGUUGAAUUGAUUUCAAAAAUAUUGAAAUUAAGAACUAUAGUGACUUUUAUUUUGUCUCUGAUCAUAAAUAUACUUCUGGAACUGAGAGUUCUAUUCUAGACUCUGAGGUUCCUGUGUUUGAUGAUAAUGAAGAUCUUCAUGACGUACUUGUUACAUAACGUAUGAGUACUUGUUACAGAGAUUGCCAAAUGGAUUUUAAAACACAGAAUAACUAGAAAUGCAAGUGGCGAGUUGUUAACCAUUUACACCAGUAUAGUUAUAAUGUUGAUUUACCAAAAUGUACAGGAAAAUUUUAAAUACUCCUAGGAAUAUUCCAAGCAAGUUAAAAUGUGGGGGUAAAUAUGUUUACCUUGGUAUUUCAAAUGACAAAUCAAGAACUUUAGCAAUCAACCAGCAUUACAGAUUUGAGUCAAAUACAUUUCUUUAGUUGUCAAUGUAGAUAGCAUUCCCUUGCUAUAAAUCAAGAAUUAACUUAGUGACCUGAUAACCAUUUACAUUCUGUAGAGUUUUUUACAGUCUUGUAUUUUUGUUAAACUAUUUUGUCUUAUAUUUGGUUGAGCAAUUAUUAUUUCGUUGCAUUGAUAGAAUAACUGUGAAAAACAACCAAAUAAAUCUAAUCCUGUGUUAUUCCAACAUGAAAUUUUCUCUAAACUUUUAUUUAUGUUUUAGCUUUGUCACCUCAUAAAAGCAGGUGGGAAAAUGUUAAAGAAAAUACAAAAAAUGUUAAGGUCAGAAUUAUGAAGCAUCAUGUUAAGCCCAAGUUCAAUAUGAAAAGCAAAAUUCGUGUGAUAUAAAGAAGUUAUCAUUCGAAAAUAAAAAGUUGGGUAAAGCAAUAAUUUUGAAGUCAUCCAGCUAACGCACGAGAGUUCGACGGAAGCAAACAAAAGAUCAAAUAGGAAGCAUUUUAAAGUUCUCUCCAUUAAACAAUUAUUUAUUUUUGAGUUUUUUUUGUAAAUUUAUAAUACAAAAGAAUAUAUAAUACAUCUUUAAAAAAAUCUUU
rnacentral:lncRNA from 1 species